GGAACAAUCAUUGGACAGGACAUAGCUACCAAGCACAGGGUGUCGUGAAAACUGUAGUGAACAGUUUAUUUAAACUUUCGAAUUAUUCGUCUACUGUCCAUUACGUGUAAAGGAUCCUGAAUCUGGUGACCCGCCAAGGAGUGACAUGAGCGAACACACUUGGGUCAGUGGCUCUGUUGUAGAGUGUGUUUGGGGUGGCCAUCGCGAAGACCUGCGGAGCAGCGGAUGACAUCAACACGGUUGUUGCCGGGACCAUGGCAGGCAUGCUGUACAAGUCCACAGGUGAUUACAUGGGGCAGCGUGAGGGGGGCCUGGCGGGCAGGUCUCUAUGGUCUGUACAACAACUGGGACCAAACUGGAGCAUGGACCAGUCAAAACAUUUCCUCAAAAUGUAUCUUUAUUCAUUUGUAGACAUACUUCAGAAAGUAUUCAUACCCCUUGACUUUUUCCACAUUUUGUUACAGCCCGAAUUCCAAAUAUAUUAAGUGUUUUUUUUCUUCUCACAUAUCUACACACAAUACCCCAUAAUGACAAAG